GACGAACGCUGGCGGUAUGCUUAACACAUGCAAGUCGAACGAGAAGGUUUUAGCGGAUCCUUCGGGUGACAUUAAAACUGGAAAGUGGCGAACGGGUGAGUAACGCGUGGGUAACCUGCCCUAUGGAAAGGAAUAGCCUCGGGAAACUGGGAGUAAAGCCUUAUAUUAUGGUUUUGCCGCAUGGCAAGAUCAUGAAAACUCCGGUGCCAUAGGAUGGACCCGCGUCCCAUUAGCUAGUUGGUGAGGUAACGGCUCACCAAGGCGACGAUCAGUAGCCGACCUGAGAGGGUGACCGGCCACAUUGGGACUGAGACACGGCCCAA
rnacentral:rRNA from 1 species